rnacentral:lncRNA from 1 species
AUGACUGAGCGACUUCACUUCUUCUUCUUAGAAUUAACUGGGAGCACGUGCCCGUGUGUGUCCCUCUGCCUCUGACCACAUCCGUGGCACCCCUCCCUUACCAGAUGGAACACACACUCAUCUGGGCCUGGCCGUCAGAACCCCUGCAGGUCGUGGGAGCUCUCUCCUCCCUCCAGGUGACCCUCUUGUAAUUCUGUGAAUAAUGCACAGGAGUCGAGUCUCCGGGGUGUAACUCCUGUUGUUCCUGGUGUUGUUCCUCUGUGGUUUGUCCCUUUGUCUGGUUACCUCUGACUUGUCCAGGCUCAGCUCGGGGGUCACAUAGUUCAGGAGGUUGCUCCGGCAUCCUCCUCUCCCAAAGAUGCUUCAGCUCCCCUGCCCUCUCCAAUCCAAGCCUACCUCUUAUAGAACGCAAGGGUCUGUUCACCUCAGUAACCUCCUUGAGGACCUUAUCACCUGAGCUCGUGGUACCUGGGACUGGCCUGGAUUGAGGCAGGCACUCCACAAACACUGCGCCAAACGACACACCACCUAACCCCUGCAUCUAAACAGGAGCCAAGAGCAAAGCACAACCUGUUCAACCCCAACCAAUGCAAAUGCCAGUAAGGCAGCCCCAAAUAGGACUUAACACUGAAGCACACGCUCUUCUCCAAGUGAAGGGAGUUGCUUUCAGAGCUUUGAAUGAUCUCGAAUGCUAGUCCCAAAUUUAACGUAAUGUUGUUUUAUUUUUACCAUCAAAAUCUUGCAGGCAUCUAUUUUUCGGUAAUGUGUUGAGUUGCCCGGGAAACCACAAGUGUCUAAGCAGAGCAAGAGAAAUGGUUUGAAGAGAACUGGUCACAGGAGGGUUUUAGGAGCAUUCUCUCUUGGUGCCGGCAGCCACCCCAGGGAUGCCCAUCAUACACAUGUGAGCUGCUGGCACUUCUCCCGUGCCCUGGGGUGAGCCCACAGGGAGAGGAUGGUGUGCUGACUCAAGCAAGGGUGAGGGGGUACAGCUUGACCACUUGCAGGGUCCACACCUGCUGUUUCCAGCUCAAGUCAUCUGGCCUCACAAGCAGGGCUUUGAAGGGCUUCCCAGUCAAACCACCUAGUCAGGGUGGUUUCUGGAAUCAUCAGACAGAGAUAGGAGUUAAUAAUGCUGUUGAGGAGAAGUGGGGUUUGCCAGGGCUUUUGGGGAGAUAUCUGUACCAAGUGUGGAGUCAUUUCCCCCAGUUUUAGCAUUAUGGCUCUUUGGGGCUCCAUUCAGGUCAGUUCAGUUGCUUAGUCAUGUCCGACUCUUUGUGACCCCA